AUGGGUCACGCCGCCGACGCCGGACGCGACCGCCUGAGCAACCUCCGCGACGGCGUGCUCGGCCACAUCCUCGUCCACACCGUCUCCCUGGAGCAGCCGGAGCGGCCCUACUUCAUCUACGACCGCGACAGCCUGCACGACCGCGGCGUGGCGCGGCGCCUCAUCGCCGCCGUCAAUGCCGCCCUCUUUUCGCGCGACCGGCGCCCCUACCCUGCCGCCGCUGCGGUGCCCCUGCGAGCGCUCCGCGUGUCACUGGAAGGGUACGAGUACGACCCCGACGACAAGUCCAGGGUGGACCUGUACCUCUCCUACGCCCUGAGGCAUGCCGCCCCCGAGUUUGACCUCGACCUCCGCUUCGGCCGCGAGUCCGCCUGCGGUCGCUACGACCGCUUGGACGCCGCCGAUGCGGAUGACGAUGGCAAUGUCGCCGUCUAUAGCCCAAUCGAGGUUCGAGCCGUCGCUGUGAAUCCGCCGAGGAAGUCUCCCGAGUCCAACGACCAUUAUUCCCACAGGGUGCGCCCCGAAGACGAAGACGAUGUCUCGUCCAGCGACGACGACGAGAGGGUUGCUCGACCGUGGAAUCGGCCGUCCCUGGAGUACACCGUACUGAGUGGGCUCUUCUCCUGUGCCACGUUGCGAUCCCUCCGCCUCGGCUACUGCAGGCUCUCCCCGCCGGUGGCCAUCAGGCUACCGUCGCUCGAGACGCUCCACCUCACCCACGUCCCCGACGAGGAGGAGCAUUUGCAGAGGCUCAUCUCCUCCUGCCCGCGGCUUGCGGACCUGACGCUCGAGGCCUGCGGCACCAUGACCGCGCUCUCCCUCUUGGACAACAUGCGACUCCGUAGGCUGGCCCUCCGGUGCUGCCACAGGCUGGCCAGGCUCGCCGUCGACGCACCAGAGCUCCACUGCUUGGAGUACCGCGGCCCAGUCCCCGACGACUCAUUCCUCACCGUGCGUGGCGGCGGCGGCGGCUUCCCGGCCGUCACUCGUGCAAGAUCGACAUCCUCGAGGAGGCCACGUCGGAGGAGGAGCUCGCCAAUCUCGGCUCGUUCCUGCAACAGUCGGCCUUGA
rnacentral:rRNA from 1 species